AAUCAAAAUCACAGUUUAUCAACGAAAAAAACCCUAAAAUAUUAAAAAACCUCUGUCCUCUCUUCAUCAUCUUCACCGUACUCUUACGGUUGUUUCAGCCUCUGCUUCACUGACGACUCUUCUUCUUCCUCCUUCGGAUUCCUCAAAAUCCAUUUCCCUUUUCCCCCCUCCAACCCAUCGAUGGAAUUCCAACGGCUUUUUCAAAAUUGUCACCUGCGCUCCGCCGAAGCAUGGCAUUCACUCCACUGAAGCAAUUGAAACUAGUAUCGGCUUCCACUCCAAAUGUUUCAUCUGUUAAAUUUUCUGAAAAUUCGGUAUGUACUGGACGAAGCUCACCAGCUGUUCGAUCAAAUGCCUAAGAGGAAGAUGAAUCAAACUAUAAGGGGUAUCUGAUAUGAUGAUAGGUUUUUGCAGUCAACUGGAACUGAUUCGUGUUACUGCAUCUGAGACUAUGGAAGCCUAUAUCAUUCUGUGCAACCUUGAUGAUGGACAAGAAGAGCAGGAGAGGAAAAGGUUCUUGCGUGGAGGAGGAGGAGGAGGAGGAGUGGGGUAAGGCAGAGCCAUCAACUCUCAAGAAUUCGCCGGAGAACAAACUAAGGGAGGCUCUCGAGGAGGCUUCUGAAGAUGGGUCACUUCGUAAAAACACAUGAAAUUCACUCUGAGUCUUUGAAUCAAGAUGGCUGCUUGGGAAGGUCAAUAUCUCUUGCAAGGCUUAAUGCCCAGAAGGAAUUCUUGAGGGCAACUACUCUUUUGUCUGAAAGGACAUUUUGCAUUGAAGAAUCCAUUCCUGGCUUUAAUGAAGCCUUCUUGUUGGUUCUUGACUUUGUACCCAAAGUUCCAAUGUUGAGAAACAAUUGACCAUUUGAGAAUUGACUUUGUACGGGUUGUUUUCUUGUUUUCAAACGCUACAGUAUUGGGAUUCAUCUAUAUUUAGCUUAAAGGAAAUUACUGCAAAUUUGAGCAAUCAUGUACUUCAUUGGUGUGCAGAGGAAGGUACUGUGGAGCAUGAUAUUAAAACCAAAAUUAUGGAUUACUUGAACAUUCUUGAGAAUGAGUUUGUACUUGUUUUUACUAUUAGUAGAGGAUCUGCAUUUAAAUUGUUGCUGAA